ACUCCUACGGGAGGCAGCAGUGGGGAAUAUUGCACAAUGGGCGAAAGCCUGAUGCAGCAACGCCGCGUGAGUGAUGAAGGCCUUCGGGUUGUAAAGCUCUGUCUUUUGGGACGAUAAUGACGGUACCAAAGGAGGAAGCCACGGCUAACUACGUGCCAGCAGCCGCGGUAAUACGUAGGUGGCGAGCGUUGUCCGGAUUUACUGGGCGUAAAGGAUGCGUAGGCGGAUAUUUAAGUGAGAUGUGAAAUACCCGAGCUUAACUUGGGUGCUGCAUUUCAAACUGGAUAUCUAGAGUGCGGGAGAGGAGAAUGGAAUUCCUAGUGUAGCGGUGAAAUGCGUAGAGAUUAGGAAGAACACCAGUGGCGAAGGCGAUUCUCUGGACCGUAACUGACGCUGAGGCAUGAAAGCGUGGGUAGCAAACAGGAUUAGAUACCCUGGUAGUC
rnacentral:rRNA from 1 species